UUUCGCAAUGCCCGAAAGGGUGACGAAGCGACGCCGCGUGGGUGAGGAAGGCCUUCGGGUUGUAAAACCCUGUCAGGAGUUAAGAAAUGUAAGUGCGCUAAUAUCGCAUUUAUUUGACGAAGGCUCCAAAGGAAGCCACGGCUAACUCUGUGCCAGCGGCCGCGGUAAUACAGAGGUGGCAAGCGUUGUUCGGAAUUAUUGGGCGUAAAGAGCACGUAGGUGGGUUUGCAAGUCAGAUGUGAAAGCCUUCUGUUCAACGGAAGAAUUGCAUCUGAAACUGCAAGUCUUGAGUGUAGGAGGGGAGAAUGGAACUUCUGGUGGAGCGGUGAAAUGCGUAGAUAUCAGAAGGAACGCCGGCGGCGAAAGCGAUUCUCUGGCCUAUUACUGACACUCAGUGUGCGAAAGCUAGGGGAGCAAACGGGAUUAGAUACCCCGGUAGUCCUAGCCGUAAACGAUGGGCACUAAGUAGAGGGGUUUU
rnacentral:rRNA from 1 species